ACUUGCAUAUUUAUUUAGUUGAGUUUAAUAUAAGUUUAUAUAUGAUGUGUUUGUAUUAUUUUAGAAUUUACUGUUUUAGACAUGUGGCAUGUGGUAUCCCACUACACUUGGUAUAAGCUGUCAUACUACACGUGGCAUGUGGUAUCCCACU